AAGAGACGUUUGCCCCUUCGGGGUAUACCUCCCACCCUUUGUUUAUUAUACCUUUGUUGCUUUGGCGGGCCCGUCCUCGGACCACCGGCUUCUGCUGGUCAGUGCCCGCCAGAGGACCUAAAACUCUGUUUUGUUAAUAUUGUCUGAGUACUAUAUAAUAGUUA
rnacentral:misc_RNA from 1 species